UUCAAGUUGACACCUGCAUAAGAAGAAGUGUCAGCAAUAAGGCCACAUUGGGAGUAGAGAGUGGUGGAGAGAAAGAGAGAAGGUCAGAGAGGUCAGUAAAGUCCAGACCAUGCACAGCUUCAGGUCAGGUGAAGAAUGGGAAGCUAUUGGCAGAUUUUAAGCAGGGGAAUGUCAUGAUCUAAUGUUUUCAAAAGACCACUCUAGCAGGAGUGUGGUGGAGUGAGAGUGGGUGUGGGAAGAGCAGUUAUAUGACCAUUUAAGCGAUCUUAGCAGACAUGAUGGCAGCUCUGCAAUGAAGACCAGGAGAUGAACACGGGAUACAUUUUGGAGUUGUAGCUGAUCGGGCAUACUGAUGGAUUAGAGGGGGGUAGCAGUAAGCAAGGGGUCUUUGAAGAGUUCACCCAGGAGCUUCAAAAUGAGGAACAGUGCUUGCAAUUUCCUUGAAUACUAAGAACAUCCAGCUAUUUGUAGACAGAUAAAAGAGAGCAGCCCCCAGAGGUGCUGAUCCAGCCAAGAUAGCUCAUCCAGUUCUCAACAGGACUAAAGGACUUAUCCUAUGCCUAGUUUUUCACUCCCCUCAGAGGGUCAGGUGAACUGGGGAGCAAGAGGAACUGGCGCCUUUCCCUACUUCUCUUUCAAUUCGUUUAUUGAGGUAACUGCACUGGGGAAAAGAUUAUAUCCAAAACUUUUGGAUUGCUCGACAUUAGAUGUUAACUCUGAGCUAAUACUAAUUUCCAGGGACCCAGAAUGAACUUAUCAAUGGAUAUCAGGAAUGGAGAUGACACAUGAAUAAGCACAGUAACAAGGAUUUCCCCUCACCAGGAUGACGUGGCCUUUGCCAUUGCUGAGAACCCAUUUUGCACGCAAUGGUGAGCAACCCCAGAUUCCUGAUAGGAUACCACUUCCUGGGAGGGCCAACGGACUAACUAGUAGUAAAUCGGUUAUAUUAUAUCCCCUAUGUGACAGAGAAGGCAGUGUUUUGCCCUAACUAGAAUAGACAUGUAUUCUGCAUAUGGAUUUACCUUCUCUAUUGGAUGUGCUACUGAGAGCCACAUCAUAAAUGGACUUAUAAAUGUCUUGUUUAUGGCCACAACACAAAUGGCUUUUAGGGGAAGGAGUAAGGGGGUUUGUUGAUGUUCAGGAAUUUUUUGCUUUUACACAUCACCUAUCAUCCAGAAACAUGUGAUGUUACAGAAGGAAACAAAUGAAGACUCAGAGCUCCAGCUGCCUCACACUAGCUUCUAAGUUUAAGGUGUAGUCCUAUAAGAUAUAAUAUGUACUCUGAACUCGAAAUCAGUGUAUUGUGCUGUUUCCCAUAGCCAGGAUACUUGAAUUCCAGAACCAAAAGGUAGAACAGAGAGUGGCACUGCUUGAUAUUAUACCUAAUAUUUGGUUUGCAGAAAUUCUCAGCAGCACAACUCUGGAAUGUGCUGAGUUCUUAGUACCAAACGGAGAAAUGAUUUUACAAAGGGACACAACUUUGCUUCUGUUGAGUUGGAUACUGAGUCUGCCACCUGAUAUCUUGAGCUCCUCAAAGAAGUUGUGGUAUUAGAUAAGAUGAUUGAUCUGAACCAUCAAGAGAAAAGGGGAAUUAUUGAUGAAACCCAAGCGGUUCCUGGAGUGCCUUAUAGAACUUCUAUAUCUAAUGGUUAAAAUUAUUAGAAGACCACAAUGAUCUCAUAUGAUUUGGAACACCAAUUGCUUGUAUCCAUUUGGAAUGAAUGUUCAAGUUAUUCCAUCAGAUAAAGAACCUCGACCAGCUCAAAAAAAUAAAAGAAAACAUAUAGUGGAGAAGGAAGAUUGCUGCAUACUUAAGAUGCAUGACAAGUUGUAGAAAAAAACUUGCACCACCUAUCCAGAAUAUUGAGCUGAGAUCAUACCAGAACUUGAGAAAGAAUGGACAUUACUGAGCAAUCUUGCAUGCGGAUAUAACUGCAGUAACAAAUGAGAUUUUUUAGUUGACCCCUUUUGAGAAUGGAGUGGUCAUGGUUUUGGUUUGGUAAAGAAUAUUUAAAUAAGGGAAUUACGGUGUAUGUUGAUGUUGGGCAGCCAGAGGGGUAGAUCAUAGUGGGAAUUUGGCAUUCUUUUUGGUUACACAGCAUCUGUACCUUCUGCCUAUGUUUGGGAAAUCUUGCACCCUAUGAAGAGUCCACUUUCAUUUACAGAAGCUCAAUAUGCCAAAAAGUUACUUUCCCAGACUUUGUUGCAAUGAGGUCAUGGAUACAUUGCCAGUUUCAGCCAAUUAGGCACGUUUGCCCCAGCAUCUGAACCAGAAAGGAGUCAUGCAAAGACAUAAUGGUUAUGCAGAACUGGCAAGGCUCAGAGCAGUGGUAGCCCCCACAUCCAGUUUUCAGAGGCAGCACUGUAUAGAGCUAAGGGCCAGGAGUAAUGGAGUUGAAAGUCCAAGGUGAAGUAUGAGUUCCCAGCACACCAGAGUGUUCCCAGGACCAGCUAUGAGGCAUGAUGUUGGACAUCACUGUAGGCUUCAAGUUUGUUCUCCAGCUGUGACUAUUCUGUGAAAGAUCCACUAUGAUUCCAGUGAAAUUAUAUCUGCUUAUAUUAGCCAGAGUUGGUUUCUGCUCUUUGCAAAUAAGACCCUGAUUAAUACUGUGCCUGUUCUGAAUGGGUGAUUUGACAGACUUUUGGGGGAGAAGUGCUCUUACUACCUGCAUUGAAUGCAUUUCUCUGGAAGACAUCCGAAGCCAGUACCAAUCUGCCAUGUACAGUUUGAGUACUUUGUUUUAGGUCUGAGCAGGAAUAGCCCUGACUCUGCUUUGGCAAGCUACUUGCCAUGCAGCAUGUAUCCAGUUCUGCUGUAUUGUUUCAGUUUUCCCGGAUAAUAAAUGACACAGCUGGGAUUUAUUCAGGUGUUCUGACUCCAAAGUCCUUGCUCCUGAUCACCAUGCGCUACCGACUUUGAGCAGUGAUGUCUCACAGAUGGGAAUGAUUCCUCUGAAGAUUGAAUAGAGAAUGCCACCAUGUGAAGUGAUAUUUGAGCUGGAACCUGAGUGAAUGAUGGAAUGGAGAAGUCAGGUACAGAGCUGUGGGGAUAGCAUCACAGGUAGGUGGGAUAGGACAGGCAAACCUCCGGAGGUGGGAGCAGAAUUGGUGCAUUGGCUGUGGUACCUUUCCAUGAUUUCCUCAUUCCAGUGUUCAUAUCUUUAGAAGAUCUCAACCCAUUGAUUGUAGGUGAUAUCUGUGAUUUACUCUAGCCAAUCUAUAUAACAUGACAAAAAUGAUGGAUGUCACUCCUGUAAUUAUUUUAUGUGAUGAUCCAUCUUGCUAUCAGACUUACUGUAGUCUCUCUAUCCCUCUGCUGUCGGCUUUAAAAAAGUAAGCUUCCAUGACUCCUACAGCCACAAGAAACUGAGUGCUUCCAAAACCACGCCAGUGGGAAACAACACUUCCCUAGUUGAACCUUCACAUGAGAACCCAGUCCUGGCCAACCCCUUGUUUGCAGCCCUAUGAGACACUAUGCAGAGCACCCAGCUAAGCUAAAUAUCAUACAGAAAUGAUGAGAUAAUAGAUAUGUGGCUGUAAGUUGUUAAGUUUCUACUCAUUUGCUACAGAGCACAGAAAACAAACAAAUGGCCCGGGAGCCAAGAAUACACAUUUGGUUUGUAGGUAGUGAUCCAGUGGGAGAGAAGGUGACGUAGAGGGGUAACUACAUAGAACCUUAGGCCAUAGUAAGGAAACUGGAUUUUAUUUUAAGUGUGUUAGAAAGUCAUUGGAGCUAUGUAAGCAGUAGAGAUUGGCUUGGAUUAAGGUAGUAGGAAUGGAGUGUGGUGACAAAGAAGAAGAGUCAGGAAAAAGUUUGAAUGCAGAGUUCACCAAAUCCUAGCUAUGUGGAUUCAGCAACCGGAACUACAGUGAUGCCUUUACUGAAAUGGAGAACUCAAGAGAGGUAAAGCUAGGUGACUCAGGUGAAACAAACAGAGAAAGGACAAAAUCAGGUGGUAUUUUGACAUGUCCAAUUUCAGAUGUCAAUUACAUAUUCGGGGGGAAAUGUCAAGGAAGCCAUUGAAUAAACAGAUCUGGAACUCAGUAUCAGUUAUACAUAUUUGGAAGUAGUUGGAAUACUGGCUGUAGUUAAAAAUAGGAAUGGGAUGAAAAUCAUCGAGGGAGGAAGUGUUAAUGUGCUAUAUAAUUAAAACAAUGAAAUCAACAUAGAAACUUUCUUCUAACAAUGAAAACAGAGAAUUUUGCUUUGCCAAUGUUUAAACCAGUAGGCUAUUAUCACUAUGUUCAAUAGCAUAUGUAAAAUAUAAAAUAAAUAUUUAAUAGCAGGGGUGAUGUAGAUGUAGUAAAACCAAGUUCCACAGCAGCCCUCUUUUUGGCCAGCUCCUACAUGGGACAUACAUUCCCACAGCCCCCUCACCACUGCCUCUUCAUUCUACUUGAGCCAUUGAUCUAGCCCCAAGGAACCUACUCUAUUGGCUGACCUUCACCCUUUACUGGUUUUAAGUAAUCUUUUACCUUCCAGGUUUUCAGACAUUAGUAAUACCUGUUCAAAUACACUUUUAAUUUAGUAGUUAGAAAUUAUUACUUCCAAAAUAAAAUUAGCUGAUGGAAUACACUUAAACUUUAUCCUUUGUUUCAGUCUAAUCAGGCUGCUAUAACAAAAUACCACAAAAUGGUGGCUUAUAAAUAACAAAAAAUUAUUUCUCAUAGUUCUGGAGGCUGAAAAGCCCAGGAUCAAAGUGCGGCAGAUUUGUUAUCUGCUGAAGGUCCACUUUUCUAUUUCAUAGAUGACACCUUCUUGCCACAUCCUCAUGUGGUAGAAGGGACAAAGGUCUCUCUGAGGCCUCUUUUAUAAGGGCACUAAUCCCAUUCAUGAGGGUGCUGCCCUUGUGAUCUAAUCACCUCCCAAAUUUCACACUUUCUAAUCUAAUCAUUUUGGGAGUUACUAUUUCAACGUGAAUUUUGAAGGAACAGAAACAUUUAGAGCACAGCACCCUCUCUUAUACUUUAGAUGUAGUAAUGCUAACACAUGACAAUCAGUUUGGCAUUAUGGACUAUAGUUGAAGAGGCAAAUAAGUUGAUAAUAAUAAAUUAAGAUUCUACAAAGGCAGGAUUGACUUAGUUAAAGGAUACAAACCGAUAACCCUCACUGAGUUUUUACUGCAGGAUUUCUCACUUCUCAAUAGUAAAUCUUAUCUUUCUUUCAUGAGGAUGAAAAACCUAGAGCUUA
rnacentral:lncRNA from 1 species